rnacentral:rRNA from 1 species
AUUCAUGUCUUAGUAACGGCGAGUGAAGCGGCAAAAGCUCAAAUUUGAAAUCUGGCACCUUCGGUGUCCGAGUUGUAAUUUGAAGAAGGUAACUUUGGAGUUGGCUCUUGUCUAUGUUCCUUGGAACAGGACGUCACAGAGGGUGAGAAUCCCGUGCGAUGAGAUGCCCAAUUCUAUGUAAAGUGCUUUCGAAGAGUCGAGUUGUUUGGGAAUGCAGCUCUAAGUGGGUGGUAAAUUCCAUCUAAAGCUAAAUAUUGGCGAGAGACCGAUAGCGAACAAGUACAGUGAUGGAAAGAUGAAAAGAACUUUGAAAAGAGAGUGAAAAAGUACGUGAAAUUGUUGAAAGGGAAGGGCUUGAGAUCAGACUUGGUAUUUUGCGAUCCUUUCCUUCUUGGUUGGGUUCCUCGCAGCUUACUGGGCCAGCAUCGGUUUGGAUGGUAGGAUAAUGACUAAGGAAUGUGGCUCUACUUCGGUGGAGUGUUAUAGCCUUGGUUGAUACUGCCUGUCUAGACCGAGGACUGCGUCUUUUGACUAGGAUCAUUGCCUAAUGAUAUUAAGCCACCGGGU